rnacentral:rRNA from 1 species
AUUGAACGCUGGCGGAAUGCUUUACACAUGCAAGUCGAACGGCAGCACGGGGGCAACCCUGGUGGCGAGUGGCGAACGGGUGAGUAAUACAUCGGAACGUGCCCAGUCGUGGGGGAUAACGUAGCGAAAGUUACGCUAAUACCGCAUACGAUCUACGGAUCAAAGCGGGGGACCGUAAGGCCUCGCGCCAUUGGAGCGGUCGAUGUCAGGUUAGGUAGUUGGUGAGGUAAAGGCUCACCAAGCCGACGAGCUGUAGCUGGUCUGAGAGGACGACCAGCCACACUGGGACUGGGACACGGCCCAGACUCCUACGGGAGGCAGCAGUGGGGAAUUUUGGACAAUGGGCGCAAGCCUGAUCCAGCCAUUCCGCGUGCAGGACGAAGGCCUUCGGGUUGUAAACUGCUUUUGUACGGAACGAAAAGGCUCUGGUUAAUACCUGGGGCUCAUGACGGUACCGUAAGAAUAAGCACCGGCUAACUACGUGCCAGCAGCCGCCGUAA